GGAAAGAGAAGGAUUCGAC
rnacentral:tRNA from 1 species